GCAGAAAGUGAUGAAUCAGAGGCUGAAGUGAAGUUACAAAGUUAUACUCCUAUGCAAAGGAAGACUUGGCCUGUGACCAGCCUGAUUGACUGCAGGAGGGGACCAGUCAGAGUUUUCAGCUUUCCUCCACUGUUUUGGGAAACGUCACCUUCUUAUCUUGGAAGAGUAAUCUCAAAAUUGAAGCAUCUUAGAUCCAACAAGAAUUAAAAGGAUGGGAAGUCCUUGCAGCCAUCCAAUAGAGUCAGAAGACUUUGGAUUUUGGAGUCUGUGAGAUUAUCUUACAGAGCAAGACUGCAGAUCAAGAUUUUCCAACGUGGUGCUGACUUUUUUGAGAACAGUUAAUGAGAACUAGGAAAGUCCUUGCAGACCAUCCAGUCCAGCGGCUUUCAAAUGGAAAAUGUGAAAGGACAACAGAAUCACAUGGAUUCUUUUCUGAACUGCUUUUUUCCAGUGAUGCCAUAUUCUAUAAGACUUCAUGUGAAGGUGUGGAGGACGGGUAAUGUCUGAAUCUUCCAGGCAAUGAGAGGGAUGGUGUGAGUCUGGAAAUUCUUUGUGAUGGUCUGAGACUCCCCUUACUCCAGUUAAGAACACUGACUUAAUUCGAUCUGGUUUUUUUUAACAAAUGGCCUCUGAGACGUAGAGCAGUGAGGAUAAGGACUCUUACCCGGUUACAGAGUGGAGUAAGGGCUAGAACUCAACUCUUAAAAAUUUCAAAUGCAAUGUUCUUUCUACAAUAUUGUGCCUACUUCUUCACUUCUGCUUAUAGGCAACUUCCUUUUCCUUUAAUUCUCUAAUAUUUGGAGGGCACGUCACAACUUAUACACUUGCUCUAUAUGUUUUACAUUGCUUCUCAUGGUUUCUCAUGCAUAAGUAUAGUAUUUUCUUAUAUUUUAAAUUUUCUAAGAACAGGUAACCUAUUUUAAACUCCCCUUGCAAUUAUGCAGGUAACUAACACAUUGAUGAUAAGCUAAUAUUAAGAGAGCAAAAUAGUUGAUGAUUAGUUUAUUAGUAUCUCAAAAUAAUCCAUUUGAUGUGCUAAGGUGCUAUUAGUUACAACAUUUCAAGUAUACAUGCAAUUCUUGUUAGAAAUAUUAUCCACCUUUUGAAAUACAUGUUGAUUAAAGACUAACAUGGGCUGUGGGCAUAGGUACAGUAACAGCAUACCAUAGGCCGGAGAAAGAGUUGACUUUGGAGGUCCAAGAUCAAGAAGCAGGAUGUCUAACAGGGCUCUUGAGAAUUCUAGGGCAGCCGGUACUCGAAAGGCAAGAUUUGAUUGUGAAUGAUUUCAUGCAACUCCGUUGGUUAAUAAGCAAAUCCUGCCCACACUUGUGGAUAACAUGGAAGCUACCUGAGCAGGUAAAGGCUAAGACAGAAGAUCCAUGAACAGAACUGGAGUUUUGAUAAUUCACCAGGAACUUGGUUACUUUGUUGUACCUUUUAUGCUUUUAUAUUUCUUCUUCCCUUUCAUUUCCAUGCAAUGUAUUUAUAACUUGUAGCUAGAUUUUUAGAUUACUGCCAGACAAAUUCAGUCAAUUUAAUUAAUUAGGCAAAUUAAAGUGAAAAUUAUGUUUUAGGGGCUGUUAAAAUUUAUAAGACAUUAGCACAUUCUUCUCAUGUGCUUUUAUUAUUAUUACAAAUGUUGUUUCAUAAUUAGCCAUGUGUUAAUUGUUAGCUUGGGGAAUGAUUUACGUGUUUAAAAUUGGGAGAAAUCAUUUUGGCUAUGGCUACCUCUUUUAAUUUACUUACAUAUUUUUUUCCCAUCACACAGUGUUUGACUUUUACAACCACAUACAUUUUGAUUAGAACCUGAAAUAAUUCAGUAAAACAAGAUGAUGGUUUUUUGUUCUGCUCAAUCUUUGUAUCAUAACCUUCACUUCUCAAUGCUCAAAUGAUGGAAUGAAAAGUGGACAAUUCUUGACUGCA
rnacentral:lncRNA from 1 species